CAAAUGGAAGUCCAAUUGGUAGGACGCUUGCUUUGGGUGCAAGAGUUUGCGUGUUCGAAUCCCGUCCAUUUGU
rnacentral:tRNA from 1 species